rnacentral:rRNA from 1 species
CCUACGGGGGGCUGCAGUAGGGAAUAUUGGUCAAUGGAUGCAAGUCUGAACCAGCCAUGCCGCGUGCAGGAAGAAGGCCUUCUGGGUUGUAAACUGCUUUUAUCUGGGGAUAAAAAAGGAGUGCGCUCCAAAUUGAAGGUACCAGAUGAAUAAGCCACGGCUAACUACGUGCCAGCAGCCGCGGUAAUACGUAGGUGGCAAGCGUUGUCCGGAUUUAUUGGGUUUAAAGGGUGCGUAGGCGGCCUUUUAAGUCAGUGCUGAAAUACUCUAGCUUA